CCUACGGGAGGCAGCAGUGAGGAAUAUUGGUCAAUGGCCGGAAGGCUGAACCAGCCAUGCCGCGUGAAGGUCAGUGCCCUCUGGGCGUUUAACUUCUUUUGUGCGGGAGCAAUAAUGGUCACGUGUGGCCAGACGAGAGUACCGUAAGAAUAAGCAUCGGCUAACUCCGUGCCCGCAGCCGCGGUAAUACGGGGGAUGCAAGCGUUAUCCGGAUUUAUUGGGUUUAAAGGGGGCGUAGGCUGUGAGGUAAGUCAGCGGUGAAAUGCCCCCGCUCAACGGGGUGAAGUGCCAUUGAUACUGCCUUGCUGGAAUGCGGAUGCGGUGGGAGGAAUGUGUGGUGUAGCGGUGAAAUGCAUAGAUAUCACACAGAACACCGAUUGCGAAGGCAGCUCACGAAUCCGCGAUUGACGCUGAUGCACGAAAGCGUGGGUAUCAAACAGGAUUAGAUACCCCGGUAGUC
rnacentral:rRNA from 1 species